AGUGAACGCUGGCGGUAGGCCUAACACAUGCAAGUCGAACGGCAGCACAGUAAGAGCUUGCUCUUACGGGUGGCGAGUGGCGGACGGGUGAGGAAUACAUCGGAAUCUACUUUUUCGUGGGGGAUAACGUAGGGAAACUUACGCUAAUACCGCAUACGACCUACGGGUGAAAGCAGGGGAUCUUCGGACCUUGCGCGAUUGAAUGAGCCGAUGUCGGAUUAGCUAGUUGGCGGGGUAAAGGCCCACCAAGGCGACGAUCCGUAGCUGGUCUGAGAGGAUGAUCAGCCACACUGGAACUGAGACACGGUCCAGACUCCUACGGGAGGCAGCAGUGGGGAAUAUUGGACAAUGGGCGCAAGCCUGAUCCAGCCAUACCGCGUGGGUGAAGGAGGCCCUCGGGUUGUAAAGCCCUUUUGUUGGGAAAGAAAAGCAGCAGGUUAAUACCCCGCUGUUCUGACGGUACCCAAAGAAUAAGCACCGGCUAACUUCGU
rnacentral:rRNA from 1 species